rfam:Ictidomys tridecemlineatus contig091797, whole genome shotgun sequence.
AGGGUUGUAGCUUAGUGGUAAAGCGCUUGCCUAGAAUGUGUGAGACUCUGGGUUAGAUUCUCAGCACCACAU